GACGAACGCUGGCGGCGUGCUUAACACAUGCAAGUCGAACGGAAAGGCCCUGCUUGCUGGGUGCCCGAGUGGCGAACGGGUGAGUAACACGUGGGUGAUCUGCCCCUUACUUUGGGAUAAGCCUGGGAAACGGGGUCUAAUACUGGAUAGGAGCAUGCUGGAGGUGGGGUGGGGGAGAGAUGAGUUUCGGUGAGGGAUGAGCUCGAGGCCUAUCAGCCGGUUGGUGGGGUAUUGGCCUACAAAGGCGUCGACGGGUAGCCGGCCAGAGCGGGUGGGAGGCCGCAUUGCGACUGUGAGACUGCGAAGACGCCUACGCGAGUAAGCAGUGGAGAAGAGGGGAAAAUGGGCGCAAGCCCGAUGCAGCGACGCCGCGUGGGGGAUGACGGCCUUCGGGUUGUAAGCUCCUUAAAGCCAUGAAGACGCCCUUGUAGUGACGGUAGCGGGAGAAGAAGCACCGGCUAACUACGUG
rnacentral:rRNA from 1 species